AGGUUAGUGCAAAAGUAAUUGCAGUUUUUGCGUUACUUUCAAUCGUAAAAACUGCAAUUACUUUCACACCAAUCU
ensembl:miRNA MIR548X microRNA 548x